UACGUAGGGUGCGAGCGUUGUCCGGAAUUAUUGGGCGUAAAGGGCUCGUAGGCGGUUUGUCGCGUCGGGGAGUGAAAACCAGGUGCUUAACACCUGGCUUGCUUUCGAUACGGGCAGACUAGAGGUAUUCAGGGGAGAACGGAAUUCCUGGUGUAGCGGUGAAAUGCGCAGAUAUCAGGAGGAACACCGGUGGCGAAGGCGGUUCUCUGGGAAUGACCUGACGCUGAGGAGCGAAAGUGUGGGGAGCGAACAGG
rnacentral:rRNA from 1 species